CCCCUAGAUGUUCUGGGCCGCACGCGCGCUGCACUGAACAGUUCAACAAGUCUUAACCUUGGCCGAUAGGUCUGGGUAAUCUUUGAACGCUGUUCGUGAUUGGGAUAGACCUUUGCAAUUAUGGGUCUUCAACGAGGAAUUCCUAGUAAACGCAAGUCAUCAGCUUGCAUUGAUUACGUCCCUGCCCUUUGUACACACCGCCCGUCGCACCUACCGAUUGAAUGGUCCGGUGAAAUCUCGGGACGGCGGCUUGGUCGCUUGCGUCCGACUGCUGAAACUUGAUUAAACCAUAUCAUUUAGAGGAAGGUGAANUCGUANCA
rnacentral:rRNA from 1 species